rnacentral:rRNA from 1 species
GUGUCAGCAGCCGCGGUAAUACGUAGGUGUCGAGCGUUGUCCGGAUUUAUUGGGCGUAAAGAGCCCGCAGGCGGCUUGGUAAGUUCGAGGUGAAAUCUCCCGGCUCAACUGGGAGGGUGCCUCGAAAACUAUCAGGCUUGAGGCAGGGAGAGGGAUGUGGAAUUCCCGGUGUAGUGGUGAAAUGCGUAGAUAUCGGGAGGAACACCAGUGGCGAAGGCGGCAUCCUGGCCCUGUCCUGACGCUCAGGGGCGAAAGCGUGGGGAGCAAACCGGAUUAGAUACCCGGGUAGUCCACGCCGUAAACGAUGAGUACUAGGUGUUGGGGGUAUCGACCCCCUCAGUGCCGAAGCUAACGCGAUAAGUACUCCGCCUGGGGACUACGGCCGCAAGGCUAAA